rnacentral:rRNA from 1 species
UACGUAGGGGGCAAGCGUUGUCAGGAUUUAUUGGGCGUAAAGAGCGUGUAGGCGGCCUGACAGGUCUGCUGUGAAAACUCGAGGCUCAACCUCGAGAUGUCGGCGGAAACCGUCUGGCUAGAGUCCGGAAGAGGAGAGUGGAAUUCCUGGUGUAGCGGUGAAAUGCGCAGAUAUCAGGAAGAACACCUAUGGCGAAGGCAGCUCUCUGGGACGGUACUGACGCUGAGACGCGAAAGCGUGGGGAGCGAACAGG